rnacentral:lncRNA from 1 species
CCAUAGAGUAAAGGAUGCUGCCUACAUCCCCAGACCAACGGCCCUAGAUAUGGACAGGACAGACACGACCUUCCCUGUUGUACAGAUCCGGAAACUGAGUCCCAAAAUAAGCAGUCACCUGCCUGGGUGCUUCAGCUGGCUCCGCCCCUUAAGGGGGCCCAUGGAGGCUCCCGCCCUGGGGCCCCAUCCUGAGCCUGACCCCCGGCUUUGCCUGACAGAUGACCUCAGCUGCCGCCAAUCCAUUGGUUCCAGCUCCGGGGGGAGGGAAGAACAAAGCACGCUUUGUGGCCGGCUGUCCCCUCGCCCGGCGCGGCCGC